GUUCAUUUCUAGGCGCGCAGGAAGAAGGGUAAGUGGUGGAGCUGCUGCUUCCGCCUUAAAGAGCGAAAGCUUUGAGAAUCUCAUUGGAUGCUGCCGAAGAGUGCAUUUGAUCCACAGGUGAACAUGUCUGGUUUGGAAGUGCAAGUUGUUGAAGCUAAUAAGACGUCGAAGAAACGAAAAUGCGUGGUUAAUGAUUUGAUACUAAAGGAUUUUCCAUUUAUCAGAAGAGGAGUGAAGGAACAUUCUGCAUUUUGUUCACUAUGUGAAGUAACUUUUACAGUUGGAAGUGGUGGGCGGACCUCAGUCGUUGAACACGUUGCAACUAAAAGACAUAAAAGCUCCUUGAUUCGGGAAAGUAGCAACGCAAAGAACCUAUCAGCAUACCUUAAGACGAUUGUGCCAGAUCAAAGUGAAAUAAACAUUGCCCUUCAAGAAGGAACUUUCGCAUUUCAUACCGUGAGGCAUUAUCACAGUUUCAAGUCUAUGGACUGUACUUCCAGCUUGGUUAAGAAAUUCAUGUGUUCCAGAACAAAAGUUGAAGCCAUUGUCAAACACGUGAUUGCUCCCUGGGCGAUUGCCGAAGCUGUAGAAGAAAGCAAUAGAGCUUCUUUUGUAACUAUACUUCUAGAUGCUUCAAAUCAUUGUAAUACAAAAUUACUACCAAUUAUUGUUCGCUACGUACAUGUGGAUGCUGAGAAAGCUGUGUCCAUCCGUAAUAAAAUUGUGGACUUUGUUCAAAUUACAGGGGAAACAGCUGAAAUAAUCUACACGGCUUCAUUUCAAACAAUCAAGCAUCUUGGUUUGGAGCAUAAAGUGGUAGCGGUUUCAGCAGACAAUACGAACACGAACUUUGGUGGUCUGAAGAGGAAAGGUUCAAACAAUGUCCUCGCCAAAAUGAAGGAAGGUUUGGGAAAGAAUAUUCUCUGCUUGGGGUAUAACGCUCAAAUGAUACACAACAGUGCACAUUCUGCAAUAAAUUCAAUCCCUGUUGAUGUUGAAGGACUUGUGGUAAAGAUUUUUGGUUAUUUCCACAUAUUUACAGUGAGAGCAGAACAUCUAAAAGAGUUUUGCGAGUUUGUAGGACAGGAGCACAAGAAUAUUCUUAGCUAUAGCAAUGUCAGAUGGCUUUCGCUGCUGCCAGCCAUCAGAAGGAUCUGUGAAAAUUAUGCUGCCUUGAAAUCCUUCUUUCUGUCUGAGGAGAAGUGUCCAGCCCUGCUGAAAAAGUGGUUCAGUGAUCCUUGCACCUAUUUGUGGAUGAAUUUUGUUGCUUCGACUAUGCCUCUUUUCCAUGAUUCCAUACUCCAAGCCGAAGGAGAGGAAGUAACAGCUGUGGAAUCUUGCAUGAUUCUCAACAUUUUGAUUCAGAAACUUCAGGCUAGGAGUGAUGACAAGUUUAUUCCCAUCUCAGUGAGGAAACUUUUGCCAUCUCUCGAAGAAGGUGGUUCCUGCACGCAGGAAGAAUUUCUCACCAUAUCAAAAGACUUCUACACUACUGCUGUUGAAUACCUAACUGCUUGGAGCUCCCACUCUGAAGAUAUUAGGUGUAUGGAUUGCAUUUUGCUUAGGACUUCUCCGCAGAGAGAAAACUUUGAAGAGUGUCUCCAAUAUUUUUCAUCAAGAGUAGGAGGAGUUGGUCUGAGUGAGGAUCAUUUAUUUGAUGAAAUUUCUUCUUUGAAAGAAUAUGUAUCAAAAGAAAAGAUAACUAAAUGGAAUGAAGAUGGCGCUGAUGUGUGUUCAAGAUGGAGUGACGUUUUCGCAUUCUUCUCUCAGAAGAUGAUCCCCUAUCCACAGCUACAAAAGUUGGUUCAACUCUGCCUCUGUCUACCAGGAAGCAGUGCUGCAGUGGAGAGAGUGUUUUCUUCCAUGAACAUAAUGUGGACAUCUCAGAGAUCGAGGCUUGAUAUUGACACGGUCAAAGCUAUGCUAGCGGUCCAAAGUAACUUUGCCAUGGAUUGCCAGGAAUUUGCAACAAAACUGGAGUCAAGAAGAGGUCUUCUCAGCAAGGUGCACUCCUCGGAACAAUACAACUAGUUAGGAACAAAGUACACUUGAAAGUUCAUUGCAUGCUGUUGGAAUGGCCACAUAAUCCUGAAGUGGGCCAUUGUAAAUGGAAGAAGAAUAACCUGGGGGGAAAGAACUGGAGAAGAUGCUGAGAAUGUGGUCCUGUGAAAGCGUCAGCUAUUUUAAGUGUAGGUCAGAAGAGAACAGAGUCCUACAGAUCAACAGAACAGUUCUGGAGAAAUGGCUGCCUUUGGUCUCCAGUAUGCCUUCAAGACUACAAUUCCCAUCAUCCCUGGUUGCCGACCGUGCUGGCGGGAUUUGGGAAGCCCCAACAUCGACAGGGCACUAUGAUGGCCUUCUCUGACAGCAACAGGGUGGAAGAAAAGCUGCAUUGCUGCGGAUCCUAAUAUGAGCAGGAAUGAUCUCCAAAGAUAAUGGUCCAAAACCAAAUUAACCGGUUGGGAUGAAGCGGUUUUCUGCAUUUGCAGAAUUUGACAGCUGGCCAUUGGUGGAACAUUGGGCGAGUUUUAAUUCAGUUCUGUUUUAGAUGCCAAACACGUGUGUUUGUUUCAUCACACUUAACUCUGCUAGCGUUGCAGUUACCAUGUUUACCCUUCUGAAAAGUGUUGUUUAUAGAUGUAAAUAUAUUGGGAAAAGUAAUUGUUUACAUUA